UAUACUUUGUAUAGUCCAUUUUCGUGCCCUUGCUUAGCCACAACAAUAGCCAAAACCUCGAUCUCGAAGCUGAAGCAAAGAAAAUCCCUCAAACGCUUUGCCGAUCUGUGUGUACGCGUUCUUUAGUUAGUUUUGGAUGUAGAGGCAUAGACAAGGCACACGAACUGUUUGACAAAAUGGGAUAUGCACACAAUGGAUUUGGCGGUGAAUCCCAAAUUUUGUCCAUUACCAGACGACGAGCUCACUGGAGUGUAGUUUUGGAGCUCAUAUUGCAGGCUACAACUUGCAAUCAAUAGGAAAAAGUGUAUGCAUGAAGUUGUAGGAUGGGUGUGGAGAAUUAUCAUGUUGUAGAGUUAGUUGGUGAAGGUUCAUUUGGAAAGGUGUAUAAAGGAAGACAAAAGCACACGGGGCAGACUGUUGCAAUGAAGUUUUUUCCUGAAACAUGGUAAGAGUGAAAAAGACAUCGAUAAUUUGAGGGAAUAUAACUCUCAAAUGAACCAUUGGAUCUAGAUAUACUUUGGAUAUGGUUUUGUAAUCCUAGUUAUCUAUAUUGCCACCGGGGCUUUUUUACAAAUAAUGACUGUAAUGAAAGUUGUGAAUAAUAGAGUGUGGUACUGUCAAAUUGUCACAAUUAUGAUAGUCACAUUUGUGAGAGGAUAACUUGUUAAAUGAUUGGUUAUUGUUGUGUGGAUCAAUAUUGGAAUUUGUCUUAUGAUGGUUGUUACAGGUUAUGAAUAAGUAAAGGUUCAAGAAUCAAGACUUUCUAAUCAGGUUUGAAUGGUUGUAAUCAGAUUUGAAGGUAACCUUUGAUGUUGAGUGACAAUAAAGCUUGGUUCAUACUAAUGCUUGUAUGUGUGGACAAGAUUAAUCCAAUGGAGGAGUGAUCAGAGGAUUGGUAUUUUGGCCAAUAUAUUGGAAGCCUUUUCUUGUGAUUUCUAUGCUUUUGAAUGGUCUUUGAACCUUGAAGUUUCUUUUAUCUCCUUUGUGGCUACUCAUACUACCAUGUAAAAUCUGAAGGAUCAAACUAUAUUAAUACUCUUGGCUGUUGUGUGCUUCAUAUAUGUGAUGACUAUCUUAUAAGACUGUCAUGCCCUAUUAAAUCAGCCCUUGUACUAUCAUAAAUGUAUUCACUUUAUUCUAAGCUUAUUGUCCUUAGGUUUGUGUUUUUUAAGUCAGCUCCUUUGAUAUCUCUGUGACUAUAUUUGAUAGUGGAUUGAUUGUGAUUUGAUAUGUGAAUCAACCUCUUAAAGCCUAUGUAGCUUUGUGAAUGAUUAUUUUGAUAGUGAUAUACCACCGUCUAGGUACUCAUUGCUACUCAUA